rnacentral:misc_RNA from 1 species
CCGUCGCCGUUAAGGCUUUCGGGUGCCUUCCGUGGAUGCUGUCGCCCAUCUUGAUCAGGGCGUUCGUUUCCGUUAUCCUCAGCGUAGUUAAAACAUAUUGGAUAUUCACUGGGAGGUAUUUCUUCCAGGUCGCCAGCACGAAAUCAACUGAGACGGCGUUCUAUCGCCCAUUUAUUCAUCCCCGAACUUCCUGCGCAGUCUUGAACCGUCUGAGCCUACAAUUUGUAUUAAAUCGUCUGUUGGUACUCGUCAUUGCGAAUGUAACACAUUCACUUUUAGAUCACUUGUUAUCACGUUAGAGUCACUAAUUUGUGGAGGACGAUUAAACGUGUUGGUGUAUAUAGUAAUGAGGCAAGUUGAUACUUCGUGUAGCCAAAUGUAUUUAAAACUAUUUGCAGUACAGAGUUAGUCGUCGUUCGCCAGUGUUGCUCGAUAUGCGUAUGUAAGGAAAUGCGUAUGUUCGCUCGAUAUUAAUCGAAUAUAAGAUUGCUCGAUACUAAUUGAUUGCCUUAACGAUCGUGUUCGUUUAUUUAUACUGGCCGGAGGAGUACCGAAAAGUUUAAAUUCGACUUUGAUUGACAGUUGCACAUCGCGGCGACAGUGUUUUGCCUGUUUGUGUAUUGUUACGUUUUGUAUGUUAAGACGGUGUCAAUGUCCCGAAGCAAAACAACGUCAUGAGUUGCUUUCGAUUCGCAUCGUCCUCUGACUCAUAUGCCGCUACAUAUAUUACGUUAUAUUAUAUCACGUUAUACUGUAUUACAUUAUAAUGUAUUACGUUAUAAUAGUAUUGCUUUAUAGUGUAUUAUAUUAUAAUGUACUACGUUAUAAUAUAUUGCGUUAUAUACUAUUACAUUAUAAUGUAUAACGUUAUAUUACUUUAUAAUAUAUUACGUUCUAAUGUAUUGCGUUAUAUUGUGUUACGUUUUGCGCUUUCUUCAAAUACUGGACAGAAGGCGUACGUACCAUGAUCGCGGACGGAUACGAAUACAUGCAUAGUGGGGAUAUCGAAAGGUGACAAAGGGAAGCAAGUGGAUCAACACAGCAGUUGUUCGUAACCAGUCAUUAGUAAGAGUCGCGAGUCGAGAGUUCUGAAAAAGUCGCUAUUCAAGAAAGUAAACAAACUGUUGAACGAACCGCCGCGUAUUCAGUUGACAGCUUUCACGUUCUACACCUCAGUUAUAUUGUAUUGCAUUAUAUUACAUUACGUUAUAUUGUAUUACGUUAUAUUAUAUUAUAUUACGUUUUAUAGUAUUAUGUUAUAAUGUAUUACGUUAAAAAAUAUCACGUUUUAUAGUAUG